AUUGAACGCUGGCGGCAGGCCUAAUACAUGCAAGUCGAGCGAGCGGCGGACGGGUGAGUAAUGUAUGGGGACUGCCCGAUAGAGGGGGAUAAAUACUGGAAACGGUAGCUAAUACCGCACACAAGCGGAUAACCCAUAUGGGAUUAGCUAGGUGGUGAGGUAAUGGCUCACCAAGGCGACGAUCUCUAGCUGGUCUGAGAGGAUGAUCAGCCACACUGGGACUGAGAAACGGCCCAGACUCCUACGGAGGCAGCAGUGGGGAAUAUUGCGCAAUGGGCGCAAGCCUGAUGCAGCCAUGCCGCGUGUUUGAAGAAGGCCUUAGGGUUGUAAAGUACUGUCAGCGGGGAGGCGUUACCCGCAGAAGAAGCAACGGCUAACUCCGUGCCAGCAGCCGCGGUAAUUC
rnacentral:rRNA from 1 species